GAUGAUCCCGCCACCUCCACCCUUGAGUCCUGACAUGGUGGACGACGAAGCCUUGGGUAGUGUGCUCAUAUCCUGGUACAUGAGUGGAUAUCACACAGGAUACUACCUGGGAUUAAAACAAGGUCGCAAAGAAGCUGGCAAGUGGACGAAAAUGCACCACAAAUGAAUGGAAGUCAUUAGUUACUUUGGGUCUCACAUGGACCAAGAGCCAUCAAGUUAAUUUGUAUGUAUGUCCUUUCAAUAAAAGUUUUGUAUUCUUUGUACAUAGAAUAAUUAAAGGCUGUCCAGACAA